rnacentral:rRNA from 1 species
CACUGACAUUAGAUACCCGGGUAGUCCUAGCCGUAAACGAUACUCGCUAGGUGUCGGCCACGGUGCGACCGUUGUCGGUGCCGUAGGGAAGCCGUGAAGCGAGCCACCUGGGAAGUACGGCCGCAAGGCUGAAACUUAAAGGAAUUGGCGGGAGCACAACAACGGGUGGAGCUUGCGGUUUAAUUGGAUUCAACGCCGGAAAUCUUACCGGGACCGACAGCAACAUGAAGGCCAAGCUGAAGACUUUGCCGGAUUAGCUG